UACGUAGGGGGCAAGCGUUGUUCGGAAUUACUGGGCGUAAAGGGCGCGUAGGCGGCAUGGCAAGUCAGGAGUGAAAGGCCUGGGCUCAACCGAGGAACUGCUUUUGAUACUGCCAAGCUAGAGUGCGGAAGGGGCAACUGGAAUUCCCAGUGUAGCGGUGAAAUGCGUAGAUAUUGGGAAGAACACCUGAGGCGAAGGCGGGUUGCUGGGCCGACACUGACGCUGAGGCGCGAAAGCUAGGGGAGCAAACAGG
rnacentral:rRNA from 1 species